rnacentral:piRNA from 1 species
UGGUACAUUUUCUUGAUUGAUGAUUC